UCCAGCAGUAGUCAGCUGUUCUUGACAAUACCAUGUUUGUGACAGUGUUACACUGCUGGAAGAUAAAAGUACUGUCUACUUUAGCUGCUUGUCACUGUCUGUGUUUUGGAGGCAGCUGGCAACAGUGUGAGGCAGUGCUGUGCUUCUCUUGAGAGUGUGCUGAGCAGAUAAAAUCCUGCUGAGUGCUAGUCUGGAAGCAUACAUG
rnacentral:snoRNA from 1 species